rnacentral:rRNA from 1 species
CCUACGGGUGGCUGCAGUGGGGAAUAUUGCACAAUGGGCGCAAGCCUGAUGCAGCCAUGCCGCGUGGGUGAAGAGGGCCUUCGGGUUGUAAAGCACUUUCAGCGGGGAGGAAGGCGGUGAGGUUAAUAACCUCAUCGAUUGACGUUACCCGCAGAAGAAGCACCGGCUAACUCCGUGCCAGCAGCCGCGGUAAUACGGAGGGUGCAAGCGUUAAUCGGAAUUACUGGGCGUGAAGCGCACGCAGGCGGUCUGUCAAGUCGGAUGUGAAAUCCCCGGGCUCAACCUGGGAACUGCAUUCGAAACUGGCAGGCGAGAGUCUUGUAGAGGGGGGUAGAAUUCCAGGUGUAGCGGUGAAAUGCGUAGAGAUCUGGAGGAAUACCGGUGGCGAAGGCGGCCCCCUGGACAAAGACUGACGCUCAGGUGCGAAAGCGUGGGGAGCAAACAGGAUUAGAUACCCCGGUAGUC